AAUUUCCAAUUUUGCCUUUACUUGCAUUUAGGAUCUUUAGCUUCAGUUGAUUGAUUUGGUUUUAAAGACCAAAAACGUCAGGCAGAAGUCAUUCUUGUCAACACUCUUAGCCAAAAAAAAUCUCAAUUGAAAUUUCAAAAGCAACAAUAAUUUACAUUUGUAUUAUGUAUUGAACCAAGAACGUGAAAACAAACAAUAGCAAGAACAUUUUCUUGCUUGGUUCAUACACUCUAAAGCCAAUAGCAGAAGCUUAGUUCCGUCCAAAUUUUGCGAUUCUAAAAGAGUACGGUGCAAUCCUCGCCAAGAAUAUUAUACGGAUUUUUCCCUACUCCAGGUAUGUUAAGGCCCUCCCUUUUUUCUUUUGGCAUUGUUCAAAUUAUACUGAAGAAACGAGCAAAUACACAGUUUCUAUAGAUUACUCUAUUCAUAGAAAUAAUAGGGGUGUUUAUAUUUGUGAUUCCCGAUGAGAAUUAUUAUUAUCUUCUGUUCAUGGGUAUCAGAAUAAUACACGGUUGGAAAAUUUUAUCCGGAAGGAAUAUCGAGAUUAUUAUGUAGUUUUCAUGCAUUUCACUCAUUUAUACAUGUGCAUUGACCCAUGACCAGAUGGCGUUAUAUACGCGUAUAUAUGUAAAUAUAUAUAUUUGGGAUAUGGGAAAAGGUUACGGCAUUAUAUACGCAUCACCACCUGAUCAGCUGGUAUAUGAUGAUGAUGUUGCCCACAGUGGCUAAAAUAUGAUUCAAAUGGCGUUAUAUACGCAUAUAUAUAUGUAUGUACUCAAACGGCGUUAUAUACGCGUAUAUAUGUAAAUAUAUGUAUAUGGGAUAUGGGAAAGGUUAUGGCGUUAUAUAUGCACCACCACCUGAUCAGCUGGUAUACGAUGAUGAUUUUGCCCACAGUGGCCGGUAUGAUAUAAUGGAAUGCCCUCAGAGGCUGAUGAUGUUAUGAAACAUGUACCUAUAGAUGACAUGACAUUCAUACGCACAUGCAUGAUGAUAAAAGUAAUUUAUGAUCUACAAAGUUGUUCAUACUUACAGGUUGAGUCAUGUACUCUAUAUGUCUUCCAUAUCUCUUAUGUAUUUAUUUAUGUGCCUUACAUACUCGGUACAUUAUUCGUACUGACAUCCCUUUUGCCUGGGGACGCUGCGUUUCAUGCACGCAGGUCCAGAUAGACAGGUCGAGAGCCCUCCAAGUAGGCUAUUAGCUCAACGGAAGAUGUUGGUGCGCUCCAUUUGCUUCAGAGUUGCUCGUUUGGUUAGUAUGAUUUAGACGUGUAUUGUUUGGUAUGGCGGGACACUUUCCCGACCUUUAUGACAUUUAUGUAUUCUUAGAGGCUUGUAGACAUAUGUCUUGUACGUGAAAGAUUGUACGGCCUUUUCGGCCUAUGUUUUGAGUUUAUAAAUGAUUAUGUUGGCCUAUUAGGCCCGUAUGUCACGUGUAUAUGAUGAUGUAAUAAGAAAG
rnacentral:lncRNA from 1 species